GUGGUGCUCGGCGAUGGAUCCCGCCAGGUCACCUCGAGUGCCCGAACCGCCGGCCGGCUGAUGGUUCCUGUCCGUGC
rnacentral:ncRNA from 2 species